CUGAAAGUGGCAUCUGGAUGAAAGGGAGCCUCUUGGACACUCCAGCAGCUGGAAGAGGAAUUUGGCAGCAAGGUUUCAAUGAGCCUGGCAAGAAGGGAGACACUGCGUACCGAGAGACUGGCUAGAACACCAUUAUCAUUUUCUAGGCUACACCAGGUUAGUGGAAAUGGGAAUGGAAAGUAAAUUGACAACGUGAUGUUGAAUCAAGAUUACUAUUUUGUUGUAAUUAUUUGUGACCUUCCUCAAUAGAUUGAACAUCCUGUGAAGGCAAGAAGUGUACCUUAUCUGGUUUUAUAUCCCCACUGCCUAACAGCGACUAGCAUGUAUAAGUGCUCAAAGUGUUUUAAAUGUAUUUGUGUGGCAAAUGUUAACUGGCUUUAUGAGUAAGUUGUUAGGAUGGUGUUAUUUCAGGGGCACUGGGUAUCUAAGCUGCUGGAUAAGGGACAGCUGG
rnacentral:lncRNA from 12 species